CAUUCUGCUGGGAGUAAAAUGCUAGAUCCCUAUCCUUCCUGGUUUGCCCUAAUCUGGAAAAAAAAUUAGGUCGAAGUUUUGCGUGAGUAUAUUUGCCGGGUGGUUUCGGCUAACGGCACUUUAACGUUUGGUGGAGACGAUUGGGAAACCGUGGAGAGAGGGGUCUCCCCUCCUCCCAGGCUCACUCACCUCGAUGGGGCCGACGAAGAGGAUCUUCACUUUCAACAUCCCCCUUUCGGGCGAGGCCGUAAAAGCCUCGGCCUCGCGUAGAAAGCCAACCCCACACAAGGACCGAAAGGGCGCCCCGAAUGAUGCGACCGAGUCCGCCCAAGCGAGCUAUGUGACGUUGCUAGGCGCGGUUGCUAAGGGCGGAGAGAAGGGGAUUCUCCCCAACUGAGCUGCGUAUGAAAGAGAGAAGGAUCUGCCCUAUCACAGCCGGACAUUUCCUCCAGAUGUGCAUAAUAGGAUCGCGUCCUCUAAAAGCCCCACAUCCUUUACGGGUUUACCGAUCCACAAGCCGCACUGUGUUCAAUCGGGCUUAUUUCCAGGAGUGAGUCGGCUGUCUGGCGACGGGCAGUGACCUCACUGGAUUUGAUAACCUGACAGAGCUUGCCUGUGGAACUCGAUACAGCCUGAGAAAGAAAAGUUGUGUAAAGUUCAGCUCCAAAGCGGUCUGCGUCGUUAUUUACUUCCGGAGCCCCUCAUCCAUCAACCAGACUCCCUUGGUGCACUCACAUUGGUGGGGGGCGACAGAGAUGGCAGAACAGGAGGACCUCCAGUGUCAACUCAUCUGCAAAAAAAAAAUCAAAUCCUCACCAAGAAUAUUAUUAUCGUUGUCAUGCGUAGCAUUGGUUAACCCUUUCCUCCUCCAGCUGCAGCCCCCCAAAAAACUGCCGCUUUUUUUUUAAAUGACAAUUUGGCUCCAAUUGAAGAUCUUUUUAAAAGAAGUAAACAAAUCUAAUUGCUGUGUUGGGGCAGGACUAAGCACAGAUCCACACCAUACACUUAACACACUUCCAGCGCGCAUUUAAAGCACAUGACUUCCCCCAAAGAAUCCUGGAAACUGGUUUUCCCCUGCACAGAGCUACAGAUUCCCAGCACCCUUUGCAGACUCCACAUCCCAUGAUUCUUUGGGGAAAUCCCGUGUUUUAAAUGUGCAUUGGGUGUGCUUUAAAUGUAUGGGUGGAUCUGUCCUUAGAGAUCUCAGUUUAGAGAUGUGAAGGCCCAGAAGCACCCCCCUCCACCAGAGAAAACUGGAAAAAUUGGGAGGAAAUGGGGGGAGGGUUUCCCCCCCUAAUUUUUCCAGUUUUUUUCCUGGGUCUUGACAUCUCCAUCUCAGUUUAUAGCAACAGGCCUAGGGGAACCCCAAGAUUUGCAGAAGCACUUUUUAUUUUCUAUUUUUAGGGGGGGGAACCCCUCUAGCUAGGGAGAGGGAAACCACCAUAACAUCCAAAUACCUACGUCAUCAGUGAGCAUAACAAACCAACAUCUAAAGAUGCCUAAUGCUUUCACCUGUCAGAAAAACAGUAUUGUUUUCAGAAAGGCACCGUUAAUUUCCUGGAAGGGCUCCACGUUUGAUCUAAGGUUUAAGAGUGUUUGACUAGGAUUUGGUAGACCAGAUUUCAGACUCCCCCUAAGCCAUGAA